rnacentral:ncRNA from 1 species
GCGGCGAGCCGUGACUGGCGCUGGGGUGGAGUACCACCGGGGAGCGGCUCGGCCACCAUGGUCCCUGCCGCGCGCCUGGGCGCACCCG